ACGAACGCUGGCGGCGUGCUUAACACAUGCAAGUCGAACGAUGAAGCCCUUCGGGGUGGAUUAGUGGCGAACGGGUGAGUAACACGUGGGCAAUCUGCCCUUCACUCUGGGACAAGCCCUGGAAACGGGGUCUAAUACCGGAUAACACUCUGUCCCGCAUGGGACGGGGUUGAAAGCUCCGGCGGUGAAGGAUGAGCCCGCGGCCUAUCAGCUUGUUGGUGGGGUGAUGGCCUACCAAGGCGACGACGGGUAGCCG
rnacentral:rRNA from 1 species